AGUGAACGCUGGCGGUAGGCCUAACACAUGCAAGUCGAACGGCAGCACAGUAAGAGCUUGCUCUUACGGGUGGCGAGUGGCGGACGGGUGAGGAAUACAUCGGAAUCUACUUUUUCGUGGGGGAUAACGUAGGGAAACUUACGCUAAUACCGCAUACGACCUACGGGUGAAAGCAGGGGAUCUUCGGACCUUGCGCGAUUGAAUGAGCCGAUGUCGGAUUAGCUAGUUGGCGGGGUAAAGGCCCACCAAGGCGACGAUCCGUAGCUGGUCCGAGAGGAUGAUCAGCCACACUGGAACUGAGACACGGUCCAGACUACUACGGGAGGCAGCAGUGGGGAAUAGUGGACAAUGGGCGCAAGCAUGAUCCAGCCAUACCGCGUGGGUGAAGAAGGCCUUCGGGUUGUAAAGCCCUUUUGUUGGGAAAGAAAAGCAGCAGGUUAAUACCCCGCUGUUCUGACGGUACCCAAAGAAUAAGCACCGGCUAACUUCGUG
rnacentral:rRNA from 1 species